AAAGUUUUAGUUUAGUUAAAAUAAUUUAUUUACAAUAAAUAGAUUAAUAAAUUUGUUAUUAAAAUUUUA
rnacentral:tRNA from 1 species